rnacentral:misc_RNA from 1 species
CCAAUAGCGUAUAUUAAAGUUGUUGCAGUUAAAAAGCUCGUAGUUGAAUUUUGGAUUCUUCCAAUUGGUCCAUCUUUUAGAUGAGUACUGGUUGUGUGGGGUCUAUCCGCCUGGUGAUACGUAAUGUCCUUUAUUGGAUGUUGCGGGUAGUCAGGACCUUUACCUUGAAAAAAUUAGAGUGUUUAAAGCAGGCUUAUGCCGGAAUACAUUAGCAUGGAAUAAUAGAAUAGGACGAAGUUGUUUUAUUUUGUUGGUUUCUAGGACAACCGUAAUGAUUAAUAGGGAUAGUUGAGGGCAUUAGUAUUCAAUUGUCAGAGGUGAAAUUCUUGGAUUUAUUGAAGACUAACUACUGCGAAAGCAUUUGCCAAGGAUGUUUUCAUUAAUCAAGAACGAAAGUUAGGGGAUCGAAGACGAUCAGAUACCGUCGUAGUCUUAACCAUAAACUAUGCCGACUAGGGAUCGGGCGAUGUUGUUUCCAUGACUCGCUCGGCACCUUAUG